UUGGCUUGAUAUACGUUUACAGACAGACAGAGAGAGAGAGAACUUUAAUGAAGUCCUGAGGGAAUAGCCGGGUAGGACUCGCUGGGGCGCCCGGCUCGCAGCUGGCUGCUUCCAUCUCGGAAUCGGGAGGGCAUUCUUCUCCGCUCU
rnacentral:lncRNA from 1 species